UACGUAGGGGGCAAGCGUUGUCCGGAUUUAUUGGGCGUAAAGAGCGUGUAGGCGGUCUGGUAGGUCCGCUGUGAAAACUCGAGGCUCAACCUCGAGACGCCGGUGGAAACCAUCAGACUAGAGUCCGGAAGAGGAGAGCGGAAUUCCUGGUGUAGCGGUGAAAUGCGCAGAUAUCAGGAGGAACACCGGUGGCGAAGGCGGUUCUCUGGGCAUUACCUGACGCUGAGGUGCGAAAGCGUGGGGAGCGAACAGG
rnacentral:rRNA from 1 species